rnacentral:lncRNA from 1 species
UCAGUCCCCACAAAAAAACAGAUUUUUGUGGUGAGAUGCUAGUCGGAUCAUGUGAAGAUUACUAUGUUGCUCAUUUUUAUCUCCUAAUCUUUAUUCUUUACAUCUUAAUCUUCAACAUGAGUCAUGACUUAAUCCCUUUUCCUUUCACAUGCUCUCGUUUGUUUUUGAUGUUUUAAUUAAGUAAUUCUUCACUGAUUAUGUUAGAAUUCUAAUAUUCAUUUUUAAUGUUAAAUUCUGUUGGAUGGAUACUUGUUAUGUUAAAUUGUGUUGGAUACUUGGAUUUAAUAUUUAUAGGGUUUUUUUAAUAUUAC